rnacentral:rRNA from 1 species
UACGAAGGGGGCUAGCGUUGCUCGGAAUCACUGGGCGUAAAGGGUGCGUAGGCGGAUUUCUAAGUCAGGGGUGAAAGCCUGAGGCUCAACCUCAGAACUGCCUUUGAUACUGGAAGUCUUGAGACCGGAAGAGGUAAGUGGAACUGCGAGUGUAGAGGUGAAAUUCGUAGAUAUUCGCAAGAACACCAGUGGCGAAGGCGGCUUACUGGUCCGGUUCUGACGCUGAGGUGCGAAAGCGUGGGGAGCAAACAGG